AACGAACGCUGGCGGCAUGCCUAACACAUGCAAGUCGAACGAGACCUUCGGAUCUAGUGGCGCACGGGUGCGUAACGCGUGGGAACCUGCCCUUAGGUUCGGAAUAACUCCCCGAAAGGGGUGCUAAUACCGGUUAAUGUCUUCGGACCAAAGAUUUAUCGCCUUUGGAUGGGCCCGCGUUGGAUUAGCUAGUUGGUAGGGUAAAAGCCUACCAAGGCGACGAUCCAUAGCUGGUCUGAGAGGAUGAUCAGCCACACUGGGACUGAGACACGGCCCAGACUCCUACGGGAGGCAGCAGUGGGGAAUAUUGGACAAUGGGCGAAAGCCUGAUCCAGCAAUGCCGCGUGAGUGAUGAAGGCCUUAGGGUUGUAAAGCUCUUUUACCCGGGAUGAUAAUGACAGUACCGGGAGAAUAAGCUCCGACUAACUCCGUG
rnacentral:rRNA from 1 species